AUUGAACGCUGGCGGCAUGCCUUACACAUGCAAGUCGAACGGCAGCACGGGUGCUUGCACCUGGUGGCGAGUGGCGAACGGGUGAGUAAUACAUCGGAACGUACCUUAUCGUGGGGGAUAACGCAGCGAAAGUUGCGCUAAUACCGCGUACGCCCUGAGGGGGAAAGCGGGGGACCGUAAGGCCUCGCGCGAUUAGAGCGGCCGAUGUCUGAUUAGCUUGUUGGUGAGGUAAAAGCUCACCAAGGCGAUGAUCAGUAGCUGGUCUGAGAGGACGAUCAGCCACACUGGGACUGAGACACGGCCCAGACUCCUACGGGAGGCAGCAGUGGGGAAUUUUGGACAAUGGGGGCAACCCUGAUCCAGCAAUGCCGCGUGAGUGAAGAAGGCCUUCGGGUUGUAAAGCUCUUUCGGCAGGAACGAAACGGCCAAGGAUAAUACCUUUGGUCAAUGACGGUACCUGAAGAAGAAGCACCGGCUAACUACGUGCCAGCAGCCGCCGUAA
rnacentral:rRNA from 1 species